GAUGAACGCUAGCGGCAGGCUUAAUACAUGCAAGUCGAGGGACAGCACAGGUAGCAAUACUGGGUGGUAACCGGCAAACGGGUGCGGAACACGUACACAACCUUCCUUUAAGUGGGAGAUAGCCCAGAGAAAUUUGGAUAAAUACCCCGUAAUAUAGUUGAAUGGCAUCAUUUGAUUAUUAUAGCUACGGCGCUUAAUGAUGGGUGUGCGGCUGAUUAGAUAGUUGGCGGGGUAACGGCCCACCAAGUCUACGAUCAGUAGCUGAUGUGAGAGCAUGAUCAGCCACACGGGCACUGAGACACGGGCCCGACUCCUACGGGAGGCAGCAGUAAGGAAUAUUGGUCAAUGGACGCAAGUCUGAACCAGCCAUGCCGCGUGAAGGAUUAAGGUCCUCUGGAUUGUAAACUUCCUUUAUUUGGGACGAAAAAGGGCCUUUCUAGGUCAACUGACGGUACCAGAUGAAUAAGCACCGGCUAACUCCGUGCCAGCCGCCGCCGUAAGAC
rnacentral:rRNA from 1 species